rnacentral:rRNA from 1 species
AUGGCAUUGCUUCUUCGCUUCAAUCAACUGAGGAACAGCAUAUGGAGUAGUUGUCCUGCCAGGUUGCUUAUGCCACAUGCUGGAUUGUCAUCUGGAAAGUUGCUUGAUCCAAAAAGCUAUGAGAGGCGCCUUUUCUCAACAAGGGUUCAAGAGACAGCUAGUUUGGACAGAACAUGUAUUUCCCGGAUUCAGCCAUUAGAGUUUCAACAGACUUCUGAACAUGAGAAAUCUGGGCCUCUUCUUAUCUUUGAUAUUAAGACCACUGAUUUUUUCCAGAAGCGUAAUAGAAUCACUGAGUUUGCAGUCCAUGAUCUUUGGGCAGGAAAGAAUAACACAUUUGAAACUCUCCUCAAUCCUGAGAUGGAUGUUCCGAAGUACAUUGCAGCUGUCACUAACAUCAACAAUGAUUUGGUCUGCCGACCUGAUGUCCCGAGGUUCAGUGAUGUACUUCCAUUACUACUGGCGUUAGUUCGAAGCCGCCAAACUCCUGGCAAACCAGUUAUAUGGGUUGCUCAUAAUGUAAAACAAUUUGAUGGCCCUUUCUUGGACCAAGAGUUUGACCGUUGUUCAGCUCAGAUGCCCGAAGAUUGGCUGUUUGUUGACACCCUUUGUUUG